GGCUUACACUUGAUCUCUGAACUCAGGUAAGUUCACCUGUUGAUAAUUAUUCACUACUGAUGCU